UAACAACUCCAAAGACAUGUUGCUUUACCUCUUUUUACUUUGCUCUCACUUCAUAGCCCUGGGUUCCAUGAACAGCAUAACGCCAGAAAGUCCUGAAGAACAUGUUGCAGAGGGAGGAAACAUCAACCUGACCUGUAAAUAUGAGGGUGCUAUCUACAGUAUCCAGUGGUACCGACAAUACCAGAGAUCCAGACCAGAGUUCCUGCUCUCCAUCACAGAGAGUGGAUCGAUUUAUCCAACUGGUUCAUCUAGAUGGUCUGCUAAAGUGAGUGAUGAUAAAACCCAAAUGGAUCUGCAGAUCUCCUCUGCUGCAGUGACAGACUCUGCUGUGUACUACUGUGCUGUG